GGGGGUAUAGCUCAAGUGGUAGAGUGCAUGCUUAGCAUGCAUGAGGUCCUGGGUUCAAUCCCCAGUACCUCCC
rnacentral:tRNA from 1 species